rnacentral:rRNA from 1 species
UGCGGCCUACGGGGCGCAGCAGUGAGGAAUAUUGGUCAAUGGCCGAGAGGCUGAACCAGCCAAGUCGCGUGAGGGAAGACGGCCCUACGGGUUGUAAACCUCUUUUGUCGGGGAGCAAAGCGAGUCACGUGUGACUCAUUGAGAGUACCCGAAGAAAAAGCAUCGGCUAACUCCGUGCCAGCAGGCGCGGUAAUACGGAGGAUGCGAGCGUUAUCCGGAUUUAUUGGGUUUAAAGGGUGCGCAGGCGGUGAUGCAAGUCAGCGGUCAAAUUGCGGGGCUCAACCCCGUACUGCCGUUGAAACUGG